rnacentral:lncRNA from 1 species
CCAUAUUAUGAAUGAAUCUUCAGCAAGUGGGUGACUUCCAUCAGUGGCAGAACUGUGAACAGUGAGAAGCUGGUUCCUUUCAAACUCCCCUAUAUGUUUUUCCACGUGGUUUUCUUGAGCCUCUGCCUCCCUAAGCACUUCAGGUCCAGGUUCAUUGUCUGCUGUGGCUGAUGUGGAAGGUUUGAAAUAUGACAGUAUGCCUGACUGCUUAGCCUCUGUAACGACUCACUGCAAAACAAAUGCAGGACGCUAUUUUCACCUUUUUUCGUAAAAGUGAAAAUCCUCUUCGGAUUUCUUCAGUGAAGACAGUGAUUGAAGAGGAGUUACCUCGUAGUAGAUCCAAUUUGCCUUUUAAUAGCUGUGAGAACUUGGCCGAGUCACUAAACCGCCCUAUUUUGUAAAAUGGGAAUAACAACGCUCACUACUUCCUAUAAUGGUUACGAAGAUUAUAAGUUAAUAUUUGUUAUCUGUUUAGGACACAGUCUAGAACAUAGUAAGCAUCAUGUAAGUGUUUGUAAAUUAAAAACGUAACAUAAAUAAAUAUACCCCAUAAUCCUGAGGUCUUUUUGGAAUCC